UACGUAGGCAGCGAGCGUUGUUCGGAAUUACUGGGCGUAAAGGGUGUGUAGGCGGUUCUCUAAGUUUGGUGUGAAAUCUCCCGGCUUAACCGGGAGGGUGCGCCGAAAACUGGGGGACUAGAGUGCGGGAAGGGAGAGUGGAAUUCCUGGUGUAGCGGUGAAAUGCGUAGAUAUCAGGAGGAACACCGGUGGUGUAGACGGCUCUCUGGACCGUAACUGACGCUGAGACACGAAGGCCAGGGGAGCAGACGGG
rnacentral:rRNA from 1 species